rnacentral:misc_RNA from 1 species
GAGAGAGAGAGAGAGAGAGACCAUAUGUUUCGGCAAACUAAAGUUACAUCUUUUAAUAUAAGCAGAAAGAGAUUAUUAAAAUCUCGACCAAAAACAUUUGUAAUCAGUACUAAAUGUCAAUAAGAGAUCUAUGACAGUGGUAUCAGACUAGCAGUUGUGGAAGCUGUUUAACAAAACAAGGCAGACUGAAACUCUGCAUAAAUCCAUCCCCCCACACUCUUGUCUCACCACUCUCUUGUCACACAGAAAAAAGGGUGAGUAAUUAAUAUCAGGAAGGGGUAAAGGCAAGUGCACAGGCACAGGAGAACUCCACAUAAAAAGUAUACGAAACAAACCUUUUAUAUUAUUGCAUAACAUAUGCGAUGAACACUCAAAAAACAUUGGGUAUUAUUACUUAGGUGCACAAACAGAAUUAAAUUAUUUUUCUAGGCAAUUGAGCAAGCCAUGAAGAACCACUUUGCAAUUCUGUUCAAAGAAAUUGUAAAGCUAAACUUAUUCAAUUGCAAUAUUCUCAGUCAUUCAUUUAGUGAAAACCAAAGAUAAUUAAUUACAUAACUAGAAAAGUAUUCACUUACAGUUAGUUGAAUUUCUCAAAAUUGCUUGCUUAAUUGAUAAGUGUCCAAAUAGUCUUUUAUGCUCAUAGAA